rnacentral:rRNA from 1 species
ACGGAAGGUUCAGGCGUUAUCCGGAUUUAUUGGGUUUAAAGGGAGCGCAGGCGGACCUUUAAGUCAGCUGUGAAAUACGGCGGCUCAACCGUCGAACUGCAGUUGAUACUGGAGGUCUUGAGUGCACACAGGGAUACUGGAAUUCAUGGUGUAGCGGUGAAAUGCUCAGAUAUCAUGAAGAACUCCGAUCGCGAAGGCAGGUAUCCGGGGUGCAACUGACGCUGAGGCUCGAAAGUGCGGGUAUCAAACAG